UUAAUUAUUUUCUGGCUCAGCUAGCUGUUACAUAUAAGGAGUAGGGCUACUGUGCUAUUAAUUAGAAGUAUAUAUAGUAAUUCUUGUGCUCCUAAUUUCGUAAUUAUUCAUUAAUUUUGAUGGGUAGUUAGAAUUAAUAUCUCAUUUCUCUCUUAACUUCUCUUUUCGUUGAAUUUCUCUACAAUUUCUCUUUUCUUUUUCACCCUAACCUUCAUCAAAAUUGAUGGAUGAUUAGAAAUUUAUAGGAGCAUAAAUGGUUACUAUACUC
rnacentral:lncRNA from 1 species